UACGGGGGGAGCAAGCGUUGUUCGGAUUUACUGGGCGUAAAGGGCGCGUAGGCGGCCAGCACAAGUCAGUUGUGAAAUCUCCGGGCUUAACUCGGAAAGGUCAACUGAUACUGUGCGGCUAGAGUGCAGAAGGGGCAACUGGAAUUCUCGGUGUAGCGGUGAAAUGCGUAGAUAUCGAGAGGAACACCUGCGGCGAAGGCGGGUUGCUGGGCUGACACUGACGCUGAUGCGCGAAAGCUAGGGGAGCGAACGGG
rnacentral:rRNA from 1 species